UUUUCUACUUUAGUUAUUAAACGGUUUAUUAGUAAUUUAAUAACAAUCCCAUUUCUGAAAUUUAUCUCUUUUUUAUUUUUUAUUUUUUAUUUUUUAGUUUUAGAAAUUUGCAUCCACUGUCACGUUUAUGCAUCUUCCCUUCCCCCUAAUAUAUCUCUUUCUCCUACAAAAAAAAUCCCCAAUUUUUCUCUAAAAAAUCCCUAAUUUCAUCCAAAUACGAGACCUAGUCUUCCAUAUACCCUCAUCCCGAUUUCGUUAGUGCCAAUUUUCCUCUAACUUCACAGACCUUCCAUACCCAUCCGCGAUUUCCUCCGCUAAUUUUCCCUCAAAUUCGCAGACCUUUCAUACCCAUCUCCGAUUUCCUCCGCUAAUUUUCUCUCAAAUUCGCAGACCCCAAUCUUCCAUAACCCCAUCCCCAAUUUUCUAGGUUGUUUCGCCCAUAGAGGCUUCUCUCCCAAAUUCUAAUGUUGAGACAAGCUUGGGAAAAAUCAGAAUUUAAACAAUGAGAGAUCUGAACAUCCAAAGAAUCACUCAUCCGAUUUCAGAAUCAAUUCUUUUUCUACAAUUCUACAAUAAACACAUGUUUUUUGUAGCACCUGCAAAUUUAACAAAUGGUGAUGAAACUUUCUAUAAGUAUGCUCCAGUUCCACCUGAUAAGCUUAUCAGAAAGGCCACAAGAGCUGGGACAAAAUGAGAAUUUAAACAAGAGAAGAGAUGUUGAAGUUAGUAUAUAGUGAUUGACAUAUUGAGAUUCAUAUAGAGCUUAUCCUUGCUGCAAAAGGUCCCUAACACACUGUUAUCCUGGUUGACAUAUUGAGAUUAAUACAGAGCUUAUCUUUGCUGUAAAGGUUCUCAAGAAGUGUCCUUGAGAUCCCUUUGCUCAAUAGUUAUGAUAACAUGAUUUAAAUUAUGAAUUGUAUAACAAGGAGCCUUCUUUAGGAUUUUGGUAUGUAGAAAUUAGGUAGCAUAAUCAUGCAAUUUUGUAAGAAGAUAGAUGUUCUCUUAACAAAUUAUUGGAGGUUAGGUUGAAGUCCCCUCCUCUUGUACUCAUCUAAAUUAUGUUUAAUGUAAUAAAGGAUAUUCGUGGUUUGUUCAAA